GAUGAACGCUAGCGACAGGCUUAACACAUGCAAGUCGAGGGGCAGCACGGGAGUAGCAAUACAACUGGUGGCGACCGGCACACGGGUGAGUAACGCGUAUGCAACCUACCUAUCAGAGGGGAAUAACCCGGCGAAAGUCGGACUAAUACCGCAUAAAACAGGGGCACCGCAUGGUGAUAAUUGUUAAAGAAAUUCGCUGAUAGAUGGGCAUGCGUUCCAUUAGGUAGUUGGUGAGGUAACGGCUCACCAAGCCGACGAUGGAUAGGGGAACUGAGUGGUUGGUCCCCCACACUGGUGCUGAGACACGGACCAGACUCCUACGGGAGGCAGCAGUGAGGAAUAUUGGUCAAUGGGCGGGAGCCUGAACCAGCCAAGUCGCGUGAAGGAAGAAGGAUCUAUGGUUCGUAAACUUCUUUUGCAGGGGAAUAAAGUUCAGGACGUGUCCUGUUUUGUAUGUACCCUGAGAAUAAGGAUCGGCUAACUCCGUGCCAGCCGCCGCCGUAAGAC
rnacentral:rRNA from 1 species